UCAAAGGAAUUGAUAGGCCUAGAGAAGUUAGAGCUAAUAAAAACAUUUUGCUCUUGCUAUUUGGUAUGAUUUUGUAAGGAUAUCACAACGAUGGCAUUGAAGAGUUUCUUAAGGUCAUGAAUUUCCAUGUGUGUAUUGAAACAUCACUUCCCAUGUUCUUGAAAGUUUACUUGAGGACAAGUAAAGGACUAGUGUGGGGGAGUUGAUGUGUUGUGAUUUUGCAUAGUUUUAGCUUUGUUAUUUCAUAUAUAUUCAUGCAUUAACCUUACAUUUAUUUGCAUUUAGAGUCUAUUGCAUGUACAUUUGCAUCUUGUAGGUGUUGGAUGAAUUGUUUGGAGUUUUGGAGGUGAUUAGAGCACAAAAGGAGCUUUCGAGGAGUCUUGAACCGAACGUGUGAAAGACAAGCAUGGAUGAAGGUCUUAAAGAUAUCUUUUGAAACUUGUCUUUUGGGAAGACAUGGUAAAUUGAGUUAGCUUUACAAUGGAGGUGGUUUCAAGUCGUUUGGAGCUGUAUUGAGGGAUUUAUGAUCAAAAUACUACACACAUAUCAGUGUGUGCAACAUGGAGAAAGUGGAGAAAACUUUAAUGAGUGAGUUUUAUCUCUUUAAAGCUUGCAACAUGGGGGAUGGGUUGUCUAUCAUGAGUUUGGUGGCUCUUUUGGCCUAACUUUCUCUACCUUUUCUGAAGAGGCAAGACUACUUUGGCCAUAUGAAGGGGCAAAAGGUGUUCUAUAAUGGAAGAAAGUGGAGAAUAACUUUUAUGAGUGUGUUUUAUGCUUUAUGCUUUCACAUGAUGGAUGUGUUGUCAUCCUCCUUUACUUAGGCUAUAAAAGAGACUGCAAGGGGAAGGAGGAAGACACAAUACACAAAGUACAAUACAACAAAGAGUAGAGAGUGAAAGUUUUAUAGUUUCAUAUUUUGUAUUUUGAGAGUUUGAGAAAAAACAUUUGUUCUUGGAGUGUUCUUGAAGUUUAUGUUAUAAAGUCUUGUUUUCCUUUAGCCAUUCUCUUCAUCUAAUUUCUGUUUUUCUUGUUUUCAUAUAUCAUAUCAUCUUGGGUAUGCUUCUAUCCAUCAUGGGAUUAAGUGUAAACAAGAUGAUUAGUGAGUAAUCACCCUUAGGAUCAAUGGGUUAGGUAGAUUAAUGGGUGAUUAGGGAAGAGUUAAGGUGUUCUAAUGGUUAAAUGCUUAGAUUUCUAUGCUUACUAAGUAUUCUUAAUGCUAGAUUAAUUUUGGCCAUUUUAAUCUAGAUUCUAAGUGUUUGUAGGGCAUCGAAAGUGUUUGCAUAAUGCUUGAAUGGACCUAGUAAAGCUCUAGCUUGAAUAACCAAGGAAUUGUUGUUAGGAUUGCUAGAUGGUUAGUAGACUAGAACUUAAUGUAUGUUUGAGUGAACAAAACGAACGGAAGUUGAUGUUUAGUUCAUAAUUGCAUAAGGGUUUCUACCACGGGAGUGGAUUAAUCUAAAUUAAAUGAAAUCUAGACCUAUAGAAAGUUAAGAUUAUUUGAAGUUAGACGCCUUGAUUUAGAACUAUCACCUUGAAAUCAAUUGUCUAUAUACCCAUUGGUUCUUCUUUGUUAUAUUUGAAUUAAAACUCAAGUUAUUUCGCACUAUUACUUGUUACAAACAAACAUCAUUUGAUUGCACUUAGAUUGAGAUAAAUGGCUUGCAUUCUUAGUGCUUAGAAUCACUAGAGAUUGGAUUGACAUCUUAAGUACUACAACACUUAAGGAUUAAACUUAUCCUUUAUCAUAUCUAUAUAUAUAUAUAUAUAUAUAUAUGUUGUCAGAGUACAAUAUACGCUUUUCUUGCUUAUGAGUAUCCAUCCAUCAACUAAUAAAGGUAGAGAGAUAUCCACUUCAAAGAAGAAAUAAAACGCAUUACCUUUUCAUAUAUUUUCAGCUGAGAUAAGCCAUGUAUGCCCACAACCCACAACUGAAUAGUGGUGAGCAUGAUUCAAUAACCGAGAAACAUCAUAUGACAUAACUCCACGCACUAUAGACUGCAUACAAAGUGAUGAUAAGCCGUGAAUGUUUAAUGGUAAAAAAACGCUGCAGAAGUCUGAACUUUUAGGCUGUGAAACAAACAGAUGAAGCGUUUUUACCUUUUAUCAAAAGUCAUUUAUUUGAUUUAUCCAUGUCCUCUUUCUAUCUUCUUCAUCCUUUCUUUUUAUGAUCUCUUCGGUUUCACACUAUCAUACUUGUGGUUCUUUUGUGCCUGCUAAAAUAUAGAUACCAACAACAAAAACCUUUGCACAAGGAAAAUUCAUAGAGGAAGUAAUGUGUUCUUCAAUUGAUGAAUCGAGGAGAAUAUAUAAAAAUAACUUCGUAAUAAAGAUUCAACACGACAAUAACAUUUAAAAAAUAUAACCAGAAAAAAUAUUUUAGUUAU